UUACCAAGCUCUUGGGUGCAAUCUUCAUCAAAUAUUUUGAAGGUCGAUUUUAUUUAUUCCAUGCAUCUUUUGGGUAUUCUCAUACUAUUUGUAUUCAUUUUAUCUUGUUCGUGGUAGUUGAAUAUUUUGAGUACGGGAUAUUAUUCCUUUUAGCUUGUGAAUGUUGUGAAUGUUUUUGGC